UGGGGAAUUUUGGACAAUGGGGGAAACCCUGAUCCAGCCAUCCCGCGUGUGCGAUGAAGGCCUUCGGGUUGUAAAGCACUUUUGGCAGGAAAGAAACGUCGCGGGUUAAUACCCCGCGAAACUGACGGUACCUGCAGAAUAAGCACCGGCUAACUACGUGCCAGCAGCCGCGGUAAUACGUAGGGUGCAAGCGUUAAUCGGAAUUACUGGGCGUAAAGCGUGCGCAGGCGGUUCGGAAAGAAAGAUGUGAAAUCCCAGAGCUUAACUUUGGAACUGCAUUUUUAACUACCGGGCUAGAGUGUGUCAGAGGGAGGUGGAAUUCCGCGUGUAGCAGUGAAAUGCGUAGAUAUGCGGAGGAACACCGAUGGCGAAGGCAGCCUCCUGGGAUAACACUGACGCUCAUGCACGAAAGCGUGGGGAGCAAACAGGAUUAGAUACCCUGGUAGUCCACGCCCUAAACGAUGUCAACUAGCUGUCGGGGCCUUCGGGCCUUGGUAGCGCAGCUAACGCGUGAAGUUGACCGCCUGGGGAGUACGGUCGCAAGAUUAAAACUCAAAGGAAUU
rnacentral:rRNA from 1 species